UACGUAGGGUGCAGGCGUUAAUCGGAAUUACUGGGCGUAAAGCGUGCGCAGGCGGUUUCUUAAGUCAGAUGUGAAAUCCCCGGGCUCAACCUGGGAACUGCAUUUGUGACUGCACGGCUAGAGUGUGUCAGAGGGGGGUAGAAUUCCACGUGUAGCAGUGAAAUGCGUAGAUAUGUGGAGGAAUACCGAUGGCGAAGGCAGCCCCCUGGGAUAACACUGACGCUCAUGCACGAAAGCGUGGGGAGCAAACAGG
rnacentral:rRNA from 1 species